UGCUUAUUCAUUAUUUACUUAAUCCUCCCUUCCUGGGGUUAGAGAAAAACAUUGCACAAAAGUAGCAUAGUGUGGGGAGAAAUGUUAAGACUGAGUCGAGACGCUUGUAGAACUCUUGCACUUAUUGAAUUGCUGCAUUCAGUCCACGGAUUGAGAAGAGAUCCCACACUAAAGGUAUUACACGAGGAUGAGGCCAUGAAUGCCAGAAGGCAAGGACCGUUGGAGGUCAUCUUACAACCUACCCACCAAAGCUUUGUCUUCAGUUUGGAGAAGUUUUGAGUUACUAUUCGCAGCAUACCAAGAACAGUAUCUGCAAUCAGUAACUGCCAUGCAAGUAUUUGUUAAUAAAGGCUCUAUUGGCAAUACCCAAUAUGGAAACAACCAGAUGCCCUUCAAUGGGUGAACGGUUAAACAAAUUAUGGUACAUUCACACCAUGGAAUAGUAUUCAGCAAUAAAAAGGAAAAAAUGAUUGAUACAACAACCUAGACAAAUCUUCAGGGAGUUAUGUUCUCGCCUGUCAUGACUGUAAGUUUCCUGAGGCCUCACCAGAAGCUGAGCAGAUGCCAGCACCAUGCUCUCUGUACUGCCUGCAGAACUGUGAGCCAAUUAAAC
rnacentral:lncRNA from 1 species